CGGCAAAAAAGUUGUGAACCCUUGGGAACUGAGGCUAAUAACAGAUGUGGAAUGGAAACUGGAAUGUUCCUUUCUUGAAAGCUUCGGCGCCUAAAGAUGAGUCGGCGGCCCAUCAGGUAGUUGGCGGGGUAAAGGCCCACCAAGCCUACGACGGGUAAGGGCCAUGAGAGUGGUUGCCCUGAGAAGGACACUGAGAUACUGGUCCUAGCCCUACGGGGUGCAGCAGCUACGAAAACUUUACAAUGCACGCAAGUGUGAUAAGGGGAUCCUGAGUGCUCAUGCAACGCAUGGGCUUUUGCCAAGAGUAAAAAUCUUGGCGAAUAAGUGGUGGGCAAGACUGGUGCCAGCCGCCGCGGUAACCCCAGCGCCACAAGUGGGAACCACGUUUAUUGGGUCUAAAGCAUCCGUAGCCGGUCGAGUAAAUUCCCUGUGAAAUCGUCAGGCCUAACCUGACGGCGUGCAGGGGACACUGCUUGACUAGAGACCAGGAGAGGUUGACGGUAUUCUGGGGGGAGCGGUAAAAUGUUAUAAUCCCCAGAGGACCACCGAUGGCGGAGGCAGUCAACCAGAAUGGAUCUGACGGUGAGGGAUGAAAGCUAGGGGAGCGAUCCGGAUUAGAUACCCGAGUAGUCCUAGCUGUAAACGCUGCGUGCCAGACGUUGCACAAUCUUCGGGAUUGUGCGGUGUCGAAACGAAGGUGUUAAGCACGCCACCUGGGAAGUACGGCCGCAAGACUGAAACUUAAAGGAAUUGGCGGGGGAGCAC
rnacentral:rRNA from 1 species